CAGGAGAUCUGGUACAGGGUCGCCUCUGGAAACAAAACGGAGUUGCAGCUGUUUCCUGUGCUCAAGGAGUCUUUUAUGCAAAACCAAAUCCUACUGAAAGCAAACCAUGAAGAAAAACUAUUUCCCAUUUAACCCACCUUGUUUGUUAAUAGUUUACCUUCAAUACAAUGAAGAAUAUGGGGGCUUUGGAGAGGUUCACCUGGAUGCUGCCUGGAUUCGAUGCUGGCUGGUGGGCUGAGUUUUUCCAGCAGUUAGCAUUUUUUAAACUUGUGUUUCAUUCAGCUGCAUUCUUCACUAACUGUGUACAAUGAAGGGAGAGGAAUCCAUUUCACUUCUUGUGAUACGACUGGAC